UUCAUUCUCCAUCCAUUUGGUACAAAUUCACGUCACAAUGCACAUAUCCGUUAAUAGGGAAGAAAAACCUUCCCAUUUGUCCAAGUGUGACUCUCUGAGAGAUAUCUAUCUAAAUUUCUAUUGGUUAGAAACUUUUGAAAGGCUUGAUCUCGUAUCACUUACCUUUUUGGAUUCUUUUAUCCCAAAGAGAUUAUAUAUCUAAAGAAAUAUCACAAAUGCCUCUUGUUUCCAAUAAGAAGUUGCCAUUUAAGAUUUUGG
rnacentral:lncRNA from 1 species